UGGGGAAUAUUGCGCAAUGGGGGGAACCCUGACGCAGCCAUGCCGCGUGAAUGAAGAAGGCCUUCGGGUUGUAAAGUUCUUUCGGUAUUGAGGAAGGUUGAUGUGUUAAUAGCACAUCAAAUUGACGUUAAAUACAGAAGAAGCACCGGCUAACUCCGUGCCAGCAGCCGCGGUAAUACGGAGGGUGCGAGCGUUAAUCGGAAUAACUGGGCGUAAAGGGCACGCAGGCGGUUAUUUAAGUGAGGUGUGAAAGCCCCGCUUAACCUGGGAAUUGCAUUUCACACUGGGUAACUAUAGUACUUUAGGGAGGGGUAGAAUUCCACGUGUAGCGGUGAAAUGCGUAGAGAUGUGGAGGAAUACCGAAGGCGAAAGCGGCCCCUUGGGAAUGUACUGACGCUCAUGUGCGAAAGCGUGGGGAGCAAACAGGAUUAUAUACCCUGGGAGUCCACGCUGUAAACGCUGUCGAUUUGUGGGUUGGGGUUUAACUCUGGCGCCCGUAGCUAACGUGAUAAAUCGACCGCCUGGGGAGUACGGCCGCAAGGUUA
rnacentral:rRNA from 1 species